rnacentral:rRNA from 1 species
UACGGAGGGGGCUAGCGUUGUUCGGAAUUACUGGGCGUAAAGCGCGCGUAGGCGGACCUGCAAGUCGGGGGUGAAAGCCCGAGGCUCAACCUCGGAACUGCCUUCGAUACUGCGGGUCUCGAGUCCGGGAGAGGUGAGUGGAAUUCCUAGUGUAGAGGUGAAAUUCGUAGAUAUUCGCAAGAGCACCAGUGGCGAAGGCGGCUCACUGGCCCGAUACUGACGCUGAGGCACGAAAGCGUGGGGAGCAAACAGG